GGAGGGUUGUCCGAGUGGUUUAAGGAGACGGUUCGCUAAACCGUUGGCAGAAAUGUCACACAGGUUCGAAUCCUGUACCCUCCGCCU
rnacentral:tRNA from 5 species